UACGUAGGGCGCAAGCGUUAUCCGGAAUUAUUGGGCGUAAAGAGCUCGUAGGCGGUUUGUCGCGUCUGCUGUGAAAGACCGGGGCUCAACUCCGGUGCUGCAGUGGGUACGGGCAGACUAGAGUGCAGUAGGGGAGACUGGAAUUCCUGGUGUAGCGGUGAAAUGCGCAGGUAUCAGGAGGAACACCGGUGGCGAAGGCGGAUCUCUGGGCCGUAACUGACGCUGAGGAGCGAAAGCAUGGGGAGCGAACAGG
rnacentral:rRNA from 1 species